AUUGAACGCUGGCGGCAUGCCUUACACAUGCAAGUCGAACGGCAGCACGGGAGCUUGCUCCUGGUGGCGAGUGGCGAACGGGUGAGUAAUGCAUCGGAACGUACCCGGAAGUGGGGGAUAACGUAGCGAAAGUUACGCUAAUACCGCAUAUUCUGUGAGCAGGAAAGAGGGGGAUCGUAAGACCUCUCGCUUGCGGAGCGGCCGAUGUCGGAUUAGCUAGUUGGUGGGGUAAAGGCCUACCAAGGCGACGAUCCGUAGCGGGUCUGAGAGGAUGAUCCGCCACACUGGAACUGAGACACGGUCCAGACUCCUACGGGAGGCAGCAGUGGGGAAUUUUGGACAAUGGGCGAAAGCCUGAUCCAGCCAUGCCGCGUGAGUGAGGAAGGCCUUCGGGUUGUAAAGCUCUUUCGGCUGAAAAGAAAUCGCACAGGCUAAUACCUUGUGUGGAUGACGGUAUCAGCAUAAGAAGCACCGGCUAACUACGUGCCAGCCGCCGCGGUAAGAC
rnacentral:rRNA from 1 species